GAUGAAGAACGCAGCGAAAUGCGAUACGUAAUGUGAAUUGCAAAUUCAGUGAAUCAUCGAGUCUUUGAACGCACAUUGCGCCCCCUGGUAUUCCGGGGGGCAUGCCUGUCCGAGCGUCAUUGCUGCCCUCAAGCACGGCUUGUGUGUUGGGCCCCGUCCUCCGAUCCCGGGGGACGGGCCCGAAAGGCAGCGGCGGCACCGCGUCCGGUCCUCGAGCGUAUGGGGCUUUGUCACCCGCUCUGUAGGCCCGGCCGGCGCUUGCCGAUCAACCCAAAUUUUUAUCCAGGUUGACCUCGGAUCAGGUAGGGAUACCCGCUGAACUUAAGCAUAUAAUAAGCGGAGGA
rnacentral:misc_RNA from 1 species